rnacentral:snRNA from 1 species
AUAUAGUGCUUGAAAAUGAAAGCAAAAUUGGAAUGCUCGGAGAAGAUUAAUAUAUCCCCUGCUGCGCAAGGAUGAAACCCACAAAUCGAGAUAUGGACCAAAUUUUU